GUGGCGCCGGAGUCGGAGGCGCUCGCCGCGGAGGACAUCGGGCCGGAGUCAGAGGAGGUCGCCGCCUGCUGCUGUCCGUGAACUCCGACCCGCUGCUCUCUGCCGCGCAGGGUUCAUAGGAGCCGGACGAGGUGGUGCUGAAGUCGCAAAUGCCACCGGACUCCAUCACGCCAAAGUUGCUCGAGCUCGCGCCAUGGAGGUGGUGCCGGGGUACUUGCCGUCAGGCACUUUUGUUUGCGGAACCGUGUGCAAAGAAACAAUGAUAUUGUGGCUCGUAAGUGAUGAGAACUGAACAAAAAAACUGCAAAAAAAACAAACAAACAAAUGCUAAGUAAUGCAUUACGAUCGCGCGAAAAAACUCACCCAAACAUGAGUGCGCACAGCGUCAUGCAAAAAUUAUGGCGACAACAAAAAAAACACCGCAGCUACCAAGGAUUGAACCAUGGAGCUCAAGCCUUGAAGUGUUGGCCAAUUGAUCUACAUUGGAUUGCUGUAUAGGUAGCACGUUCAGCUGUAUUUAAUAAGGACAAAACAGGAAAUCUAACCCCUAAUUAAUCACCCCUUGGUAAUCGUACUCAUGUCCUAAACGUCAUCUAAUUACGAUACAGAGGGAGUACAUACGUAUCGGACACUUGCUGGACCUACAGGGUAUGCCCUGUAUACCUAGCAUACCCUAUAGACGGACGAGGUCUCAUGAAUAAGUAUGGCAUACCUGAUGGAUGAGGACUCAUGAACCAAUCUGAAUUUUUUCUUUACGUAUCACACUAGGAGUCUUACAUUUACAUGUAAGAUCACAUAUGACAAAGAGCUCAUAUAACACGAUGUAUAGAUCGAGCGGUUAUUAUAGAGGGAGAGAGCCCCCUC
rnacentral:lncRNA from 1 species